rnacentral:lncRNA from 1 species
CUGCUAUACAGAUGAGGAUAACAGAAGUUGACUAACUUGCCCAAGUCACAAGUUUGUAAAGAUGGAUCUGGGAUUUAAACCCAGUGAGUGAUGGAUUGGAACUGAGACCGAAAUAUAAUGGAAUUUUACAUUGCUUGACUACCAUUUGGAAACUUGAUGGACUACGGGGACUUUAUCAAGGAGUAACCCCAAAUAUAUGGGGUGCAGGUUUAUCCUGGGGACUCUACUUUUUCUUGUGAGUAGAUUUGGGAGAUUUUACAGUAUUAAAUUAAAAAGGAAUUUUUGUUUUCGGUGAUUUUUACAUGUAAAUGUAAAAUGAUAAGUUGAGUCAUUUAAUCAGUUUCUCUGAAUUGGAAG